rnacentral:lncRNA from 1 species
UUUUCUUUUACACUGUGAAACAUACACAGUAGAAAUUCUGUUACUCUCUGUUAUUAAUACAUAAAUGAAAAUACUUUUUUUUCCAUAUUGGCAUGUAGCUACAAAUAUUAAAGGAGGAGAAAAGGUAAUAUAAUUUUAGGUUUACCAAAUAUGGUGUGUAUUCAAAUAAUACUUGACCAGCUUAUCUAAAAUGUACAUAAUUUUGAGGUAGCUUAUGAAUUUGAUUUUAAUUAUUAUGUUCACAAGCUUGGAAUAUUAGAUAUUAUUUUGCAUCUGUAACUAACCGUGAUCAUCAUCUCUUGUAAUUUCUUGUACAUGUAUAUUACUUGUUCUUAAUAGAUUUUUGGAAACAAGACUUUAUUGAGAUCAGUUUGGUUUUCCUGUUAAUUUACCUGUUUGACUUUAUAAUGUGUUUUAGUUUUGCAGAAGAACACUGUUGUAGUUUAGAAGGCUUUUCAUAAAUCCCCUCAUAGGCAAAGAUGAGAACUUCCCACUAUUUUUUUCCCCUCUUAGGAAGACAUACUGGAAAGAAAAUGUUUAGCAUCUUAGUGUAGUAUAGCUAUUGUAAACAGUUCAUGACUAGAUUUUGAUUCGGAAAUCUAUACUGACCAAGGAUUAAUCUUAAGGACUGUAUAAUUCAUUAAAGCGGUGGUCUUUCCAUGUGGAGACUGAUAGAAAAUAAUUUUGUCCCAAGUCUUAUUUGCUGACUUUUUCUGUCAAUGAGUGAGAUUGUUGAACAAACUGAAUAUAUGGGCUAUAGCAAGUAGCUUUACAGUACAGAUCUUACAAUUAAGUUUUGCUUUUGUUAAAGUGUGUACCAUUUUUUCUGUUUGGAGUAAGACAAAAAUUGUUUUGACAUAGGUUCCCUAGGGUACACUUGCUCUAGCAUACUUUAAAGGCCACUGUUGCAAAGUCUACAUUUUAUGCUGAAUCUGCAUUCUGUCAGGCACCCGUAGAAAGACCUCAGUACAUGCUUUGCACUCUCCUUUGCUCCCUUUUUCCAAUUUCUUAUUGCAUAUCAUUUUGUUGUAAUACAGAAAGCAGCAUUUUUAAAUGUCCAUGUUAAGAAUUGGCCCACUGGUACCGACUCACCUCUAUUUUGUCAGUUCAUAGUUGAAGAUUUUGUUUUAUUUCAAAAACAAAGUACAUUUUUGAAAUAAUGUUUCAG